rnacentral:lncRNA from 1 species
UGCUGCACCUUGGGGAUACGGGUGGAGCCGCCCACCAGCACCACGUCGUGCACAGUCAUCUUGUCCAUCUUGGCGUCGCGCAGGCACUUCUCCACGGGGUCCAUGCACUUGCGGAACAGGUCCAUGCACAGCUCCUCAAAGCGGGCGCGGGUGAUGGAGGUGGCGAAGUCCACGCCCUCGAACAGGGAGUCCAGCUCGAUGGUGGUCUGCGCGGCGCUAGACAGCGUGCGCUUAGCGCGCUCGCAGGCGGUGCGCAGGCGGCGCAGAGCACGGGGCGAGGUCUUCAGGUCCUUCUUGUACUUGCGCUGGAACUCGUUGGCGAAGUGGUUGACCAGGCGCUCGUCGAAGUCCUCACCGCCCAGAUGGGUGUCACCGGCA